CCUGCCAGUUGUCAUAUGCUUGUCUAAAAGAUUAAGCCAUGCAAGUGUAAGUAUAAAUAGACAAAUUAUUGUACUAUGAGACUGCGAAUGGCUCAUUAAAUCAGCAAUCAUUUAUUCGGUGGAUGAAGUAAUUCUAAAAUGGAUAACCGUGGGAAAUCUAGAGCUAAUACAUGCAAAAGAGAAUUCUUUGAAAAAGGAAUGCAUAUAUUAGAUACAAAUCCAAAAAUACAAAGGUGAAUCAUAAUAUUUAUAGCAAAUCAUAUAAGAAGGAGUGAUCUUUUCUUUGAUGAUAAACCGAUCAAAUUUCUGCCCUAUCAUACUUUGGACGGUAAUGUAGUGGAUUACGGUGGUGAUGACGGGUAACGGAGAAUUAGGUUGAUUCCGGAGAGGGAGCAUGAGAAAUGGCUACCACUUCCAAGGAAGGCAGCAGGCGCGUAAAUUACCC
rnacentral:rRNA from 1 species